rnacentral:lncRNA from 1 species
CAUCCAUUGUUGUUUUUUUUUUUUUGAAAGCAACAGAUUCUCUUCAGUUUUGUGAGGAAAUUUUUGGCCAAAACCUGUCUGAAUAACAGAAGCUUGUCAGUCGUUAUUUCAGUAACACUUGUGUUUGUUGCAACUGACGUGAUUGCAGGAGCUGCACAGGGCACUUGUCCAUCCUACUUGAGCAUGCAGCAGACACCAUUUCUCCACACAAUGUUAAGAAGACAGUAACGGGCCACUGUGUAAUCAACACUGUUUCACCAAUGGCAUUCUUAAGUGAAGCUGACAUUCUUUUCUU